rnacentral:tRNA from 1 species
UCCCUGGUGGCUCAGACGGUAAAGCGUCUGCCUGCAAUGCAGGAGACCCGGGUUUGAUUCCUGGGUUGGAAA